AGAGAGUCACAGGCUGCAUCCGCGUUGGCCGAGGGGGGGGACAUACGCUGUUAUCGCGAUAACAUGCGAGAACUCCCGGGGCAGGUAGUACGGACGCAUGCUAACGGCUAACAGCUCAAUGUCUCUGCUGCAGAGUUGCUCUUUUACAGUGAUGUGCCCAGGGUUACACCAUCUGUCGUUCACAAAAACUGCCAGUCCCCCUCCUUUCCUCUUACCGCUGUCUCUGGUCCUGUCCGCUCGCAGCAGCUGGAAUCCCGGUAGUGUCACGCUUGUGUCCGGAGUUAGCGAUGUUAGCCACGACUCCGUUAGCAUCAUGAUGCUACAUUGCCGGUACUCCCUCUGUGACCAUUUUGGCAGCAACAUGAACAGCGCCACUGUAAGCGGCACUGCAGAAACUUUUCAGCCAUCGGAGUAUUCAUCCCACUUUAAUUCACAUGACAUCAAGUUGUAUAUCAAAAAAAAUAAAUAGGUUAAAUAUUACCGACCCGUAUAAUGCUCCUGGCAUGCUUUUCAAAAGUAUUUCAGCAUCCCAGAUCUAUGCCAUCCGGACAUACAUACCUUAUAAACUUCCCAUCGCACUACUCGGGGGACUCUUUAAAAGCCUACAAAAGCCUGGAGGGUUACAAAUGGACCCAAUCUGGCUUUGUGACAAACAUUCGGCUGUGGAAUCUUCAAGCAAAAAAAAUUCUUCAUCAUCACUGGAAAGGUUCAACAUUCCCAAAGGCUAAAUGACCCACAGUUGAAGCCAUGGGUAGUAGUGAGAAAAGACGGGGUUGUCUUGGGAGCACACUGUAACUGCACAGCUGGCCUUGGUGAGAGCUGCUCACAUGCGUCAGCUGUGUUGUUCAGCACAUGGCAGCAUACCAGUGGAAAAAAAAGAAGAGAUAGCUGUUACAUCUAAGAAGUGCAAGUGGGUCAUCCUAAGUGAGGAGUCUUUAAAGAAAGUGGAGUAUCAGCAAUGCAAUUACAUAAUUUUUAACAACUCUAAACAAAAUAAAAAAGAGAAAUCUGCAAAAGAUCAUCCUGGCCUCUGAGCUUUCCCACCUCUCCUACCUCUGACUGCUGCUGAGCAAGACCAACUGUAUCACAACCUCUCCCAAUGUCGCACACAAGAGGGGAAGAUCAUCAAACCCUAAAUUAAAAUUCUAAAUUAAUGCUAUUUUUGUUAUUUAUAUAAUUCAGCGUUUUAUAUUGCACCUUACCACUGAAGCAGGUGGCUAGUUUGUAGAUUUUUGUUCACUGACAGAGGCAAUAAAACUUUUUUCUGA